GGUAUACAAAUUUGGUGCUCUUGUAUGGAAGUCAUACAGUAUCGAGGUUGUCAUUUAGUCGAAAACACAAUUCUUUGUUCCGUCAAGCAAAUUAAAUACUUCAAUCAAAAUGUACCAGACAAUUUUUCCUUAUUCAUUUUUUUUAGUCUUCGUGGCACUGGCAAUUACGAGCCAACAAUUUGUUAGUGCUGCUCCAGUCAGCAGUGCUUAUUUUUCUGACGGUACAGUAUUAACUGGACCAAUUAAUAUGAGUGGAUAUGGUAAAAGCAAUGUAGAAAAUAAUAUCGAUGUACGCGUUGGAGUCACUGGAUCAUUUGAUUUUAGUACAAAUGGUAAUUUACAACUAUCAUAACAAAACAACUGACAUGGAUCUUCAAUGGAAUUUGUGAUACUUUUUCGAGAUAUAUCGGAUGGGGAUGGAUGGAGUUCCUGAAAGUAAAUUAAACUUUUGUGCUUUCUUUGAUAGCAAUUGAAUAGACUUAAAUUUUUCUCAUUAGAUUUUAUUCGACCCAAAUGUUGUAAAAAAUGUUCAAUUAAAUAAUAAACUGUAUUGCCAUAAAUUA